AAACGCAAAGAGAUGCAAAGAGAAAUGGGAAAACAUAAACAAAUACUACAAAAAAGUUAAAGAAAGCAACAAGAAACGUCCUCAAGAUGCUAAGACAUGUCCUUAUUAUCACCGCCUUGAUCUUCUUUACCGCAGCAAAGUACUCGGUAGUGGUGCCGGUUCUAGCACUUCUGCUCUACCUCAAGACCAAAUAUCAAAUAUACAAAAGCAGAGUCCGGUCUCUGCAAUGAAGCCGUCACAAGAAGGGGAUGUUAACGUCCAUCAAGGAGAAGAACCAAGAGAGGAAACUCCACAAGGAGCGGAGAAGGUACAAACUUGGCUUAUCAUUUUCAAAAUGUGAAUUGGUUUUGUUUCUUAACAGCUAAAAAUCUUGAUUUGUUGGAAUUGAAGCCAGAAGACCUUGUGAUGAGAGAGCUGAUGCAACAAAAACAACAACAAGAAGAAGAUUCAAUGAUAGGCGAGUAUGAAAAGAUUGAGGCGUCUCACAACUAUAACAUGGAAGAAGAAGAGAUGGAUGAAGAACUAGACGAGGAUGAGAAAUCCGCGGCUUAUGAGAUUGCAUUUCAGAGCCCUGCAAACAGAGGAGGUAAUGGCCACUCUGAGCCACCUUUCUUGACAAUGGUUCAGUAAAUCAGAAUCACUGUUCUUCAAAUUAUACCCUUGUACCAAGAAAAUGUACUUAUGUGUGCAUAGCUUCUAAACAACACCAAAAACCUCAAAAACACACACACAUCUGACCCAAGAAACUGAAAAUCGAGGUCUCAUCAAUCUUGAUUUUCCAGUGAAUACAAUUCUUUCUUUCACAUUAUUUCCCUUGUUCCUUUUCUUUCUCAGUCUCUUGUUUGUUUCUCUGUUCAUUGUUUUCUUCUUCAGCACACACACCCCCCCACCCACAUAAACAAAAACUCUAGCUAAAGGUCUUUUAGUUUAUUUGGAGUUGUAAUUCAUCAGCAAGUCUCAUACUUUUUCUCUUCUUAAAACAUUUGUUGAUUGGUUAAUUGGGGAAUAAAAGAGUCUUUUAUCUUCUCAAUUCCCCGUUUUCUCUCUAACCCAAACGCCACCACCGUCCCAACCGCUUCCACCGCACACAGUCUCCUUUACUCCCAAUCCAUUGCCUCCUCCUCCUCCUCCUUCAGUAGAUCCCCCAUUUCCCGGAGGUACCUUCUCUUCUCACAGCUCAUCGACGGCUUCAGGAAUGGGGUCUGAUGAUGACGACGACAUGGACGUGGAUCAGGCGGGUCCCAGUAGCCACAAACGCAAACGUGAAAACCGAGGCACUGGAGGCGGCAAGAUGAUGGAACUAUUCCAAGGUUUGGUGAGACAAGUGAUGCAGAAACAAGCGGCGAUGCAACGGAGCUUUCUCGAGGCGCUUGAGAAGAGAGAACAAGAACGUCUUGCUCGAGAAGAAGCUUGGAAACGCCAAGAGAUGUCUCGGUUAGCUCGAGAGCACGAGAUCAUGACUCAAGAACGAGCGGCUUCUUCUUCCCGUGACGCUGCAAUCAUCUCGUUGAUCCAGAAAAUUACUGGCCAUACCAUUCAGUUACCUCCUUCUUUAUCAUCACAACCGUCUCCGCCGCCACCUGCCGCUAAACAUCCUUCAUCACAAGCUGUAGAACCACCUCAUUCUCAACCAAUAAUGGCGAUUCCACAACAACAAGUUCUUCCUCCUCCUCAACCACCACCACCACAACAACAACAACAAGAGAUGAUUAUGAGCUCGGAUCAAUCGUUACCGUCAUCAUCGAGAUGGCCAAAGGAGGAGAUUCUUGCUCUUAUAAACCUGAGGAGCGGAAUGGAACCAAGGUACCAAGAUAAUGUCCCUAAAGGACUUUUAUGGGAAGAGAUCUCAUCUUCAAUGAAGAGAAUGGGAUACAACAGAAACGCAAAGAGAUGCAAAGAGAAAUGGGAAAACAUAAACAAAUACUACAAAAAAGUUAAAGAAAGCAACAAGAAACGUCCUCAAGAUGCUAAGACAUGUCCUUAUUAUCACCGCCUUGAUCUUCUUUACCGCAGCAAAGUACUCGGUAGUGGUGCCGGUUCUAGCACUUCUGCUCUACCUCAAGACCAAAUAUCAAAUAUACAAAAGCAGAGUCCGGUCUCUGCAAUGAAGCCGUCACAAGAAGGGGAUGUUAACGUCCAUCAAGGAGAAGAACCAAGAGAGGAAACUCCACAAGGAGCGGAGAAGGUACAAACUUGGCUUAUCAUUUUCAAAAUGUGAAUUGGUUUUGUUUCUUAACAGCUAAAAAUCUUGAUUUGUUGGAAUUGAAGCCAGAAGACCUUGUGAUGAGAGAGCUGAUGCAACAAAAACAACAACAAGAAGAAGAUUCAAUGAUAGGCGAGUAUGAAAAGAUUGAGGCGUCUCACAACUAUAACAUGGAAGAAGAAGAGAUGGAUGAAGAACUAGACGAGGAUGAGAAAUCCGCGGCUUAUGAGAUUGCAUUUCAGAGCCCUGCAAACAGAGGAGGUAAUGGCCACUCUGAGCCACCUUUCUUGACAAUGGUUCAGUAAAUCAGAAUCACUGUUCUUCAAAUUAUACCCUUGUACCAAGAAAAUGUACUUAUGUGUGCAUAGCUUCUAAACAACACCAAAAACCUCAAAAACACACACACAUCUGACCCAAGAAACUGAAAAUCGAGGUCUCAUCAAUCUUGAUUUUCCAGUGAAUACAAUUCUUUCUUUCACAUUAUUUCCCUUGUUCCUUUUCUUUCUCAGUCUCUUGUUUGUUUCUCUGUUCAUUGUUUUCUUCUUCAGCACACACACCCCCCCACCCACAUAAACAAAAACUCUAGCUAAAGGUCUUUUAGUUUAUUUGGAGUUGUAAUUCAUCAGCAAGUCUCAUACUUUUUCUCUUCUUAAAACAUUUGUUGAUUGGUUAAUUGGGGAAUAAAAGAGUCUUUUUAUUCCUUGAGGAAGACUCAAGAAAAGAAACAUACUGUAAAUCUUUAUUUCUUUAUGAGGUUUUCAAGAACUUUACUUAAGUAUUUCUGCUUCGAACUACUAUACGAGAAAAGAUUGGCUUAUUCAUAUUCACUUUGCUUCUGUUCAUUUUUUACUGAGAAGAGACUCACUCAAAACUAUAGUUUGAGCGAGAGGAGAAGAGAAGAAAGAAUCCGUGUUUUAUGUUUUAUCCUUUUUUGCGGCGCCCACAAAGACACAAUCCGAUAAGCCAUUAUUCAUUUGUGUCACGAUCAGUUAAAUAGAGUCACUCAAAGUUUUGUUCGUUUGUUUCAACUUUCUUGUUUUUUAAAAUUUAUUUUCCUUAUAAUCAAAAGCAUGUGCAGCUUUUGUACUUACAACGACAAGACUCGUCCCACUCUCAUUGUUCAUCUCCUGUCUUGUUUUUUUGCUUUUUAAUACCUUCAAAAACUGUUUUAGAAUAUAUUACAUUUACUGCAAAACUAUACUCGUCUGUAAAAGAAAAAACAGAAAUCACAGAAAAAUAUAUAAGCUGGUUAUUUGAACGGAGAGAAUAUACAAAUAUGGAAUGAGACAGCAUGAUCAAACCAAGAAAAGAUUUAAUAAAAAAAAUGGAAGAACAGAGAAAAGAUUCUGUAUCUUUUUGAUAGGGAGAGUAAUAAUGGAGGAAAUGGGUACAGGUAAGAAAGGGUAUCUACCACUUUCAUUGCCAACUUGCUUUCACCUCUUUGUGUCUACUAACACAGCUGCCCCAACGUGCAAUCAUUUUAUAUAUAAAUGUAUGUAUUAUGUAUGUAUGUAUCUAAUUAUACAUAUAUAACAAUGUAAUGCUAGUGUAUAAAAUACCCAACGAGCCUGUCCUACCCAUGUGCUUUGUAGUUUUAUUAAUUAAUUAGACUUCAUAUAUUAUUUUUUUAAUUACGUAUGUUUAGGGUAAUACGUACGAAAACAACUCAACAUGUAAUCAACAAUGUCACAUGUUGAUCCCACCAUAAACUCAAAAGUUUAAGAUCUGUUUUUAGGUCAUGCUCUCACAUGUAGUUUCCUUUUUGAUUAGGCUUUGCUUCUCCUUUCUUGCCUACAAACCAUAACGAUCUCCUUGUUCUGUAACUUUCUCUUCGGAUGAAGAAUCUAAUUAUAUCUCCAACCUGUCGUCAUCGGUAACUUAAGGGGUACUAGUUGAGAUUUAAAAAAGAGAGUUUUCAGAUGUCAAAAGAAAAAGAGUUUCCAAGAUUACGAGUUCGAGUACCGUCGACGUAAAGAAUACUAAAAUAACAACUUAAACAUACGCUAAAAAUCUUGAUUUGUUGGAAUUGAAGCCAGAAGACCUUGUGAUGAGAGAGCUGAUGCAACAAAAACAACAACAAGAAGAAGAUUCAAUGAUAGGCGAGUAUGAAAAGAUUGAGGCGUCUCACAACUAUAACAUGGAAGAAGAAGAGAUGGAUGAAGAACUAGACGAGGAUGAGAAAUCCGCGGCUUAUGAGAUUGCAUUUCAGAGCCCUGCAAACAGAGGAGGUAAUGGCCACUCUGAGCCACCUUUCUUGACAAUGGUUCAGUAAAUCAGAAUCACUGUUCUUCAAAUUAUACCCUUGUACCAAGAAAAUGUACUUAUGUGUGCAUAGCUUCUAAACAACACCAAAAACCUCAAAAACACACACACAUCUGACCCAAGAAACUGAAAAUCGAGGUCUCAUCAAUCUUGAUUUUCCAGUGAAUACAAUUCUUUCUUUCACAUUAUUUCCCUUGUUCCUUUUCUUUCUCAGUCUCUUGUUUGUUUCUCUGUUCAUUGUUUUCUUCUUCAGCACACACACCCCCCCACCCACAUAAACAAAAACUCUAGCUAAAGGUCUUUUAGUUUAUUUGGAGU
rnacentral:lncRNA from 1 species